GUAAGACCGUGUUGAAAUUUAUCUCUACGAAUAUAUGCGAGAAUCUUCACUGGUUUUCCUCAUUGUUUCGGUGUAGCUCACGGCAGUUUGUCUGGUGUGACUUAAAGAUUACGGACCUUUUUACCAGUGUGAACAGGUAUACUACUAUCACAAGAACAGUGAACCAUGGGUAGCAGAGCAUCAUUUCCGGUCGUGCCAAUUUCCAAUGACCGAGUCUUCAUAGUGACGGGAGCGAAUACCGGAAUUGGGUAUGAGAUCGCUAAAUGGUGCGCCAUGAUGGGAGCUACUGUGAUCCUAGCUUGCCGAUCAGAAGAUCGAGCCAGAAAAGCCAUGGAAACUAUGCAAGAGGAGUUUAAAACUGAAAAAGCAAAAGGAACUAAGGGUUUGACUGAAAGUCCGAAUCUUGCAAUUGAAUUCAUGAAACUGGACCUUGCAUCGUUUCAGUCAGUGGUAGAAUUUUGUGAAGAAUUUAAGAAAAGUGGUCGCCAGCUUCAUGUGUUGUUUUGUAAUGCGGGUCUUGGAUUUGGUCCGUAUAAACAAAGUGGAGACGGACUUGAAAUGAUGUUGCAGGUGAAUUACUUAAGCCAUUUCAUCAUCAUUUUAAAAUUCCUAUCAAUAAUGCGACAGUCUGGACCUGAUUGCCGUAUAAUACUGAUGUCCAGUAAAGCUCACGAGAUUGGGAACUUUGACGUCACAACAAUGAAUUACACGGACACUGCCGAAAAGUUUCCAGGUCUGGAUUACUACGGACGAUCAAAGCUUUACCAAAUCAUGCAAACAUUUGCAAUGUCACGGCGGCUUAAAGAUUCGAACAUUACGAUAAAUUGCAUGCAUCCAGGGGUUGUUGAAACGGAGUUGUGGCGUGAGAUGGACUCAUGCAUUGUAAAAUGUCUUAUAGGAUUCUCUCGCAAGUGUGGUACUCUGAGAACAUCCUUAGAAGGGGCAACUACAGGCAUUGACCUAGCGACUAGCCCUAAACGUGCAGGGGUGUCGGGACAUUAUUGGAUAGACUGUAAAAUCGUUACGUCAACAAUGACGUCACGUAGUAAAGGGAAACAGGAGGCAUUGUGGGCAGCAACAUUUCCGUUUAUACAACAGUACCUUACAGAAAUGGAAAUUGCUGAACUGGAACGAGAGUGAUUUCCUCUGUGUUUUAAUGGAAAUAAAAUCUGUAAAUAGAUCCUUUGGAAGCAUAGAAUGCAACCAAGCAGAAUAUUAGCAGACUCGGUUUGAUUAAGUGUGUUCAUGAGAGGUAAUGAAAUGUGCAACACCUCUCACGCCCCGUUAGCAUCGACCUAAGCGGAACGCUAUUACAUAUCUACUGAAUGGACACAAUGAUCCCAAAGGAAAAAAUUUCCUAUCAUCUUUUUCGUGGUUUUUAAUAAUAUGUUGAAAUAGAAUGAUAGACCACAUUCAACUUAAUAUAAUGUUUUCGGUGAUUUAUUUUGUAAACGAGUAAGAAAUAUCUUUUGAACAAUUUCUAUCUUAGUGAAAAUCUGUCGAAGUUGUGACUAAAUGCAUGCACAUAAAAAUACUUCGAUUCUAUAUAUCAUGACGCAAAAAAAUCUAUAAAUAUCAAAAGAUAUUUAAAAACUCUGAGACGUCCUGUCGUUAAGGAUGUACGAGCGUUUUAUUUUUCAGGAUAUCCGCCAUUUUGAAAAAAAAAAUGUUUCUUCGAAUAUUUCUUCCUAACAAUUUAUGCAGAAAAUUAAUGCUAAAUAAUUAAAGUAUGGCUAAUAAUGUACCAUUUAAGCAAACGGAUUCUACUUGUUGCGGAUUUUUUUUCACCCUUAUUUUUUGCUGGCAUUUGCCUAAAAUUGAUAUAAGAUGUAGAACGGGGUAGGGAGAUAUACAACUGAAAUAAAAGUUUAAAACAUAGCACGUUAUAUUAUCUGGAAAGUAUAAAUUAAAACAAAAAGAACUAAAUAUAUGAAAAUUCACCAGUUUUUUCUAAAUAUAUCUCUUAGAUACACGGUGACCCCAACAUUUUUGUGUUUUAUAAAAGCAGCAAAAUAUUUUUAAAAUCUUAACAACAGAAUUCUUUUUGUACAUUUAAAUACGUUUUCUUUUCAUUGAAAAAUGUGGGUGGGAGUAAUUAUGCCAACGUAAAAAUGAAAGAGGUUAUGCUUAUCUAAUACUGAUAUCAACUUUUAUUCAUAAUAACAUGUAAGACCUGAAAUCCCGAUAACAGUAAGUGGGAUAUUAUAUGUUUUAUAAAGUAUCCACAUUUAUUUCAAUUUUACUUAAUUUCAGAAAUGCUUAAACAGUGGGUGAAGAAAAUGCCUUUUAAAAUGAAAUCGAAUGCGGUGACCUGCGCUGUUUUCUGUCAUUAUUUGUCUUAGAAACUAGCGUUUUUCAAGCUCACAGAGUAUAAAAAAAUCUUAACUGUAGAAAACAUUUGAUCCUACAUCCUAGAGAGUGACGCUGUGCGAGCAACAUUGCUCAAAUCGUUUUUCAAGCCUUUGAGAAAUUAUGAAGUUAAAAAGAAAAUUUUUCAGUUUUUACGUUUUAAGAUUUUAAGAUUUAAGAUAUUUAAGAUAGAAAUAGCCGUAAAUCAAACACUAGAUGUUGCAUUCUGGCUUGUUGCUAAGUUACAUAUGAAUUAUAAACAGCUCUUUUGUUUUUCUGUAAUUUCUAGUAGAUAGUGUGCAAUCAUUUCUCAUUUGACGUGGCGGGCAACCGUUUUGGUUAUUUAGAAAAUCAGCAGAAAAUGUAAAUAUUUAAAGAUACUUGUCAUAUAUAUUCGUACACGGGAAUAUUAGAUAUGUAUGUAUAACAACAAUACGGGAAACAGAGAAUUGUCUGGCUAGUUUCCAUCAAGACUGACGCUGUCAAUAGCGGCCAGGGGAGAUAAGUUGCCAAGUACAUUCGAAAUAGAAGUCAUGCAUACUAUGGAAAUUUAGUCGUCAAUUUAAAUCAUAUCAGAUACAAUGUGCCUCAGCAUUUACACUGCUUUGUAAUUUAAUCUCCAUAAGUUACGAAGUGAUGUGCACAAAUUAUGACUUACUCACAAACGCCAUUUCUCUGUAUAGUGCAUUAUUCUGUGAGAAAUAAGGCAGUUCAAGAGCAGCAUUGUAUGUAUACUUGUCAUAGAUGCUAAUGGUAAAACAAUUAGAAGUGUUGUGUAGCCUUUCUCCAGAAAAACAAUUGCUAGAAAUUCUCAGUGGUUUUGUAAUUUUUGAUUUCAGUAUCGUACUUUAAAUUAAUGACUUGUGUUCAUAACAUGACAUCAAUGUAUGGUAUACGAGAAUUAAACUGUCGUAUGAUAUUCUUUUAGCAGUUACGUAAAACUUAAGUAACUUGAAAAUCAUUCAUGUUUAUGAGAAAUUACGUACACCAUAAUUGAGUAGCAUGUAAAUAUUAUUGACUGAUUAUAUACAUAAUAUUGAUAUCUAUGUUGUUAUUUACGACCAAUGUACUUAUAUAAUUAUAUUGUGACUAUGAAAUGUUGUUUUUUUCCAGUAUAGUGUGUAUGAUAUGUUGGUUUUUUUCCCCAGUAAAGUGAGUAUGAUA
rnacentral:misc_RNA from 1 species